UCCUGCUUGCGUCACGUGAGCGUAUUGCGCGCUGGUUGGGCACAUGGUAAGAACCCAGUGAGCAUGGCGGAGAGAGAGAGAUAAGGGUGUUUACUAGAAGUGUCGUCAGGUGGCGGCGUGUAACUGUUACAAAGAAUGUCUCCAUCUUGUGGUGGUGAUUGAUGCACUACAUAAAGCAGAGUUCAGUGUAAUUAUCUUCCAGCAGUCCACCUCGCCAUGCCCUCUUGUGUUUCUUGUUAAAGCAGGCGCCAAUUAUAAUGCUAUAAAGUGCUUAUACAUUAUUUCAAAGUGAGGUGCGCAUCUUGUUAUUGUGCUUCACACAGCCACUCACUCACGACCCCUGCUUAAAGCCAAACAACCUCCAACCACCAUCGACAAGAGUGUGGACACCUUCGCGAGGAGAGUGUGCACACUUCGCACAUACACACAGCCUGCCAGGCCACGGCCUUCUCCUACAGGCCUGAUGGAUGUGACCUUCAGUGCGAGUAGGCCAUCCGCGUCUACUGGGUGUGUCGGGAGUGUUUGGGAACUCCGCCGUGGUCUUGUUUGAAGUGGUUUUGGUGCACUCACUAGGCCUUCUGCCAUGCCUUACAAGUGUUGCGUUCCUUUAUGUAAAGGGAAUGACAAAAGUGGGCCAAAGGUGUGCUUAUUUUCAUUCCCAAAAGAAGAGAAGCUUGCGCGGGCUUGGCUUCAUGUUAUCAAGCAAGCACACUCCACCCCAACCAAAAGCACCAAGGAUCUCUGCCAGACACCGCAGCUCACCAGUCACCUCCACCACAAGUGUGGACCCCGCUACAGAGACCACCACCACUCAUAAGCUUGAUCUAACAGUGGCCGUUCGGCGUGGAGCAGCCUGGCAACGCCUGAGCCAGUGUGUACAAUGCAGUGAGCACCGCACACACACACACACACACACCAGCGUCGAACGUCGAGGAGGUAAGACGUGGUGUGUUUUGCUCCCGAUUUUUUUAUUUUUUUUUUAUUUCGUUCUUUGUUGUUUUAGCAGGAUGUACGAGAACGACUGUAAGGUAUGCAAAGGUGAGGUGAACAAUAGGAGUAACUCCAUCGCAUGUGAAUGUUGUGGAGAUUGGUAUCACACGCGAUGUGUGGGCCUUAAGGAAGCCAGCCAGAAGGUACUGAGGAACGACUUCCUAAUAGGCCUAUGCCCUGAGUGCCUAGACACUACCAGGGCAUGGUGGGAGGA